GAUAAACGCUGGCGGCAGGCUUAACACAUGCAAGUCGAGGGGUAGAGUGGCUUCGGCUACUUGAGACCGGCGCACGGGUGCGUAACGCGUAUGCAAUCUACCUUAUACAGGGGGAUAGCCCAGAGAAAUUUGGAUUAAUACCCCAUAGUAUUUUCGAAUGGCAUCAUUUGAUUAUUAAAGUUCCAACGGUAUAAGAUGAGCAUGCGUCCCAUUAGCUAGAUGGUAAGGUAACGGCUUACCAUGGCUACGAUGGGUAGGGGUCCUGAGAGGGAGAUCCCCCACACUGGUACUGAGACACGGACCAGACUCCUACGGGAGGCAGCAGUGAGGAAUAUUGGGCAAUGGUCGCAAGACUGACCCAGCCAUGCCGCGUGCAGGAUGACGGUCCUAUGGAUUGUAAACUGCUUUUGUACAGGAAGAAACACUCCUACGUGUAGGAGCUUGACGGUACUGUAAGAAUAAGGAUCGGCUAACUCCGUGCCAGCCGCCGCGGUAAUAC
rnacentral:rRNA from 1 species